rnacentral:rRNA from 1 species
GACGAACGCUGGCGGCGUGCUUAACACAUGCAAGUCGAACGGUGAAGCGCCUUCCUUUUUGGUGGGUGUGGAUGAGUGGCGAACGGGUGAGUAACACGUGAGUAACCUGCCCCCUUCUUCUGGAUAACCGCAUGAAAGUGUGGCUAAUACGGGAUAUUCUGGGUCUGUCGCAUGAUGGGUCUGGGAAAGAUAUUGUUUCGGUGGGGGAUGGGCUCGCGGCCUAUCAGCUUGUUGGUGGGGUGAUGGCCUACCAAGGCGGUGACGGGUAGCCGGCCUGAGAGGGUGGCCCGUCACACUGGGACUGAGACACGGCCCAGACUCCUACGGGAGGCAGCAGUGGGGAAUAUUGCACAAUGGGCGCAAGCCUGAUGCAGCGACGCCGCGUGAGGGAUGGAGGCCUUCGGGUUGUGAACCUCUUUCGCCAGUGAAGCAGGCCUGCCUCGUUUGUGGGUGGGUUGACGGUAGCUGGAUAAGAAGCGCCGGCUAACUACGUG